rnacentral:rRNA from 1 species
GAUGAACGCUGGCGGCGUGCUUAACACAUGCAAGUCGAACGAAGCACUUUAUUUGAUUUCCUUCGGGACUGAUUAUUUUGUGACUGAGUGGCGGACGGGUGAGUAACGCGUGGGUAACCUGCCUUGUACAGGGGGAUAACAGUUGGAAACGGCUGCUAAUACCGCAUAAGCGCACAGCAUCGCAUGAUGCAGUGUGAAAAACUCCGGUGGUAUAAGAUGGACCCGCGUUGGAUUAGCUAGUUGGUGAGGUAACGGCCCACCAAGGCGACGAUCCAUAGCCGACCUGAGAGGGUGACCGGCCACAUUGGGACUGAGACACGGCCCAAACUCCUACGGGAGGCAGCAGUGGGGAAUAUUGCACAAUGGGCGAAAGCCUGAUGCAGCGACGCCGCGUGAGCGAAGAAGUAUUUCGGUAUGUAAAGCUCUAUCAGCAGGGAAGAUAAUGACGGUACCUGACUAAGAAGCACCGGCUAAAUACGUGCCAGCAGCCGCGGUAAUACGUAUGGUGCAAGCGUUAUCCGGAUUUACUGGGUGUAAAGGGAGCGCAGGCGGUGCGGCAAGUCUGAUGUGAAAGCCCGGGGCUCAACCCCGGUACUGCAUUGGAAACUGUCGUACUAGAGUGUCGGAGGGGUAAGCGGAAUUCCUAGUGUAGCGGUGAAAUGCGUAGAUAUUAGGAGGAACACCAGUGGCGAAGGCGGCUUACUGGACGAUAACUGACGCUGAGGCUCGAAAGCGUGGGGACC